rnacentral:lncRNA from 1 species
UUCAGUUAACAAAAAUUUAUCAAUUUCCUCUCUUAGACUUUUGAGACCUACUCUGCCCCUCGAUUUGUAUAACAUGUAUUUGAGGAUGAUAAGAAACGUCUCAACCAUUGAGUAUUUCAGAUUUGGAUCCAAGUGCCCAGAUGAAAAGAAUGUAUAGGGAAACCAUCCUUGAAAAAAGGGAGCUCCCAAAUCACAAAAUUUUAAGAGCUCACAUGGUCCCAUGACAGAACUUUUGUGACUUUCUGAAGACCUCACAAUUUCAGACUGUUUUCC